rnacentral:rRNA from 1 species
GACGUAGGGCGCGAGCGUUGUCCGGAUUUAUUGGGCGUAAAGAGCUCGUAGGCGGCUCGUUGCGUCAAUCGUGAAAACCUACUGCUUAACGGUGGGCUUGCGGUUGAUACGGGCGGGCUGGAGUUCGGUAGGGGAGACUGGAAUUCCUGGUUGUAGCGGUGGAAAUGACGCAGAUAUCAGGAGGAACACCGAUGGCGAAGGCAGGUCUCUGGACCGAUACUGACGUGAGGCGCGAAAGCGUGGGGGAGCAAAACAGG